UGAUGCUAUAAGUACCUUAAACAUUUCAUGGAAAAUCCUCACAACUCAUAAGUGAAGUCACAAGUAAAUUCACAACCAAAAAAAAGUAACAAAAGAAUUAAAAAAGAUGGGAAAGUCCACUUACUUUUUCGGCAUUCUUGCCCUCUCUCUCAUGUUCUUGCUUAUCAUUAGCACUGAAAUGCAAACUACGGAAGCAAAGAGUCCGUGUGGAUGGAUACACAGGGGUAAGGCACCUUGUUUCUUUGGUGAUUGCAAAGAAAAGUGUCGGGAUUUCUACGGAGCUAAAACUGGAAGAUGCACUUAUGCUAAACGUACUUUUGGUUGCUUUUGUAACUAUGGCUCUUGCAAGCGUCAUUAAUUACCUUUUUCCAAACAAAAGAACAAAAAAAGAUGAUUACUACUAAUUUUCAUCAAACAAUUAAUAAUAUAUUUGGGAGUUGGGAGGUGUUCUGGUUGCUAUGGUUUUCGACCGAUAUGAAAACUGUGUCGUGUUUGUUUUUGUGUGCGUUGAAAAUACUUCCUAGUUCCUAUAUAUGUAACCAAUAUAUUAUCUAUAUGUACUAUAUAUUAAAAAGCUGUGAGAAAGUAUGUGUGACCCGUGACGCUCUGUUUACGAGUCUUUCAUUAAAAAAUGUUAUACAUAGUUUGUAUAAGGUUUGAACCCCAACCUUGGGUUUAAACAAUAAUUAAA